rnacentral:rRNA from 1 species
CCUACGGGUGGCAGCAGUGGGGAAUAUUGGGCAAUGGGCGCAAGCCUGACCCAGCAACGCCGCGUGAAGGAAGAAGGCUGUCGGGUUGUAAACUUCUUUUAUCAGGGACGAAGCAAGUGACGGUACCUGAUGAAUAAGCCACGGCUAACUACGUGCCAGCAGCCGCGGUAAUACGUAGGUGGCAAGAGUUAGCCGGAUUUACUGGGUGUAAAGGGCGUGUAGGCGGGAGUGCAAGUCAGAUGUGAAACCUAGGGGCUCAACCCAUAGCCUGCAUUUGAAACUGUACUUCUUGAGUGCUGGAGCGCCAAUCGGAUUUCCGUGUGUAGCGGUUACAUGCGUCGAUAUUCGGAGGAACACCAGUGGCGAAGGCGGAUUGCUGGACAGUACCUGCCGCUGAGGCGCG